CCCCGUGGAAUGGCCCUGCGUUCCGAAGAGGAGGAGGACCACCGGCCUGGCCUUAGAGACACCCAGCCCACAGUGGAAGGUGCUGCCGCUCUGGCUCAGGACUCUGAGGUCGCUGGCUGUUCACAUCGGUAGCUCUGCACCAGGAGCAGGUUCUCAGGGCUGCUUGGCAGUUUCAGAGGAAGCAGUAAGAGGGGGCAGCAGCCUUGGCCAGGGUGGGAGACUUUUUCCUCCAGGGUCUCCGUGAAGACUUGGUGCUUUAGCCACACUUUUGAGCCUCAGAGAUGUCAGUACUGGAGCAGGAGGGAUGGUGUCCAGGACCCUACUCCACGGCAUCAAGGCAGCCACGAGAGUGCAACUGAAGACACUGGCGAAAGAGGACUUGGAGGAAGAGAUGACCACGCUGAGACUCGGUCCUUUCCUCUAAGCGCAGUACCCAGACUCAGGCAAUGGGAGAAAGAUGGACCCUC